rnacentral:tRNA from 1 species
GGGUUCAUGGCCUAAUGGUAAGGCGUCAGAUUUCGGUCCCAGCUUGGUCCUCCGCUCUCUGAAGAUUGCAGGUUCGAUCCCUGCUGAGCUCG